GCACCUGAUAAAGCUGAAAUAGGCAACUUCUCCCAAGGCCUGGACCCGAAGGUGACCAUAAUGGAUAUGUUGUCUAGGCGAGCGCAAUCACUAGAAAGGUUUGAGAUCUUGUUUAACUAUUCUCUUAGCUACGUUGUAUAUACACGUCUUUAACUAUAUAUCCUCAAUCGCUGGAAGAUUUAAAGUCUAGUCGCGACUAAUAAUUGUAUAAAUAGGAUGGAUAGCUUUAUCAUUGGUCUUUUGUAAGUUUUUAGUC
rnacentral:lncRNA from 1 species